AAGUCGUAACAAGGUAACCGUAGGUGAACCUGCGGUUGGAUCAUUAAAAAAAAAUUGAAGCUUCAACCCUUUCAAGGGUAGAAGCGUCAGUGCUCCUCUAACAAGGAGCUUGACUACUCCAAUUUUGUGAACUUGCAACCAAAAAAUGUUUUGAUAGUGGUGAAAGAUUUGGGCAUUACCAGCCCAAGUUUUUCCCUUCUUGAAAAAAUUGUUAACCCUGAAGAAAUAACUUGUCUUUACCGUUUUUUAUAUAUAAAAAUUAAUAAACAACUUUUGACAACGGAUCUCUAGGCUCUC
rnacentral:misc_RNA from 1 species